rnacentral:rRNA from 1 species
UACGGGGGGGGGCAAGCGUUGUUCGGAAUUACUGGGCGUAAAGGGCGCGUAGGCGGUUUGUUAAGUUGGAUGUGAAAACUCUGGGCUUAACCCAGAGCCUGCAUCCAAAACUAGCAGGCUAGAGUUCUGGAGGGGAUAGCGGAAUUCCUGGUGUAGCGGUGAAAUGCGUAGAUAUCAGGAGGAACACCAAUGGCGAAGGCAGCUCACUGGGACGAUACUGACGCUGAGACGCGAAAGCGUGGGGAGCAAACAGG